rnacentral:rRNA from 3 species
UGAUUGGCGACCAUAGCGUUGUGGACCCACCUGACUCCAUGCCGAACUCAGAAGUGAAACACAAAUAGCGCCGAUGGUAGUGUGGGGGUUCCCCAUGCGAGAGUAGGACGUUGCCAUGACC